ensembl:snoRNA
UGUGUCAGUGUAGGUUCAUCAAAUGUGACAAAUAUGUUUACUGGUCAUUCAAGUGGGGCAAAGGAAAUAUCCUUUUAAAACUCAAGCAAACUGGGUGUUUGUCUUGUAACCUGUCGGAGGAAAUAAGC